CAAAUUAAAGCUUCAAGGUAG
rnacentral:miRNA from 1 species